UAAGCAUCUUCAAAAACAACUUCUGUGCAGCUGCCAAGCCAAAUGUAGCAACUAGAACAGCCCUCACAAAUAUAAACCAUGAACUCCCAAAAGCAAGGGCCAUAUAAACACCAAGAAGGACCAUAGGACUCAUCCUAGAUUGGCCUCCUUCAGUUUGGGGAUUUGCCCAAGCCAUCCACCAAUUACUAGCUAUUUGUAGAAAUUGAAAUAAUGCUUGUGCAAGGAUAAUUAGUGGAAUUAAUAAGCCCUUAUAUGCUGCAGCCAUGUAUGACAAGUAAACCUUCAUACUGACUCUCCCUCUCACCCUUUCCUCUUCCUGAACAAGCUGCUUUUUCCUUGAGCGUUUUGCUUUCUUUUUC
rnacentral:misc_RNA from 1 species